UGGGGAAUAUUGGACAAUGGGCGAAAGCCUGAUCCAGCAAUGCCGCGUGAGUGAAGAAGGCCUUCGGGUUGUAAAGCUCUUUUACCCGGGAAGAUAAUGACUGUACCGGGAGAAUAAGCCCGGCUAACUCCGUGCCAGCAGCCGCGGUAAUACGGAGGGGGCUAGCGUUGUUCGGAAUUACUGGGCGUAAAGCGUACGUAGGCGGUGACUCAAGUCAGAGGUGAAAGCCUGGAGCUCAACUCCAGAACUGCCUUUGAAACUAGGUCGCUAGAAUCACGGAGAGGUGAGUGGAAUUCCGAGUGUAGAGGUGAAAUUCGUAGAUAUUCGGAAGAACACCAGUGGCGAAGGCGGCUCACUGGACGUGUAUUGACGCUGAGGUACGAAAGCGUGGGGAGCAAACAGGGAUUAGAUACCCACGUAGUCCCUGAGCGGGCUGGCAAGGCGCAU
rnacentral:rRNA from 1 species